AUUGAACGCUGGCGGCAGGCCUAACACAUGCAAGUCGAACGAGUGGCGGACGGGUGAGUAAUGUCUGGGCAACUGCCCGAUGGAGGGGGAUAACUACUGGAAACAGUAGCUAAUACCGCAUACCAUCGGAUGUGCCCAGAUUGGAUUAGCUAGUAGGUGGGGUAACGGCUCACCUAGGCGACGAUCCCUAGCUGGUCUGAGAGGAUGACCAGCCAAACUGGAACUGAGACACGGUCCAGACUCCUACGGGAGGCAGCAGUGGGGAAUAUUGCACAAUGGGCGCAAGCCUGAUGCAGCCAUGCCGCGUGUAUGAAGAAGGCCUUCGGGUUGUAAAGUACUUUCAGCGAGGAGGCGGUACUCAAAGAAGAAGCAACGGCUAACUCCGUGCCAGCAGCCGCGGUAAUUC
rnacentral:rRNA from 1 species